CGCCUGUUUAACAAAAACAUUUCUUUUUGGUUUUUUAAAAAGUAUCUUCUGCCCUAUGAUUAGUAUUUAAAUGGCUGCAGUAUUUUGACUGUGCAAAGGUAGCAUAGUAAUUAGUUUCUUAAUUAGGAGCUUGAAUGAAUGGAUGGAUGAGAGGUAUAUUUUAUUAUUUUUUUAAUUAAAAAUUUAAAUUUAAGUAAAAAUGCUUAAUUGAAUUUUUGGGACGAUAAGACCCUAUAGAACUUUACAUAUAUAUUUUUAUUGAGUUUUUAAUAUUAUAUCUUUAUUAAUUUUUUAUAUGUUUUGCUGGGGUGGUGGAUAAAUAUGAACUUUAUUUAAUUAUAUCAAUUAUGAUUGUUAGUUAAGAUCUUUAUUAGAAAUUAUAAGAAUAAGUUACCUUAGGGAUAACAGCGUAAUCUUAAUGGAAAGUUCAUAUUUAUAUUAAGGUUGCGACCUCGAUGUUGAAUUAAGAUUAAUUAAAGAAGCAGUUUUCUUUAUUUUAGGUCUGUUCGACCUUUAAAUUCUUACUUGAUCUGAGUUCAGACCGG
rnacentral:rRNA from 1 species